rnacentral:lncRNA from 1 species
GAAUAAGAAAACUCUGGACACACCCUUUGUGUCAUCUUGGGGGGUGGGACAUUAGUGUAGGAACCAUAACCAGAAGGUGACUGACUAACAUCUGAACUGUUCUUUUUAUCACUUAGCAUCUGCUAACAGGGAAAAUGUUCUAGGUCAGCCAGUAUUUACAUGACAGACUGAACGGCACUAAGGGGGCUUAUUCUGGUCUAUUUGGUGAUGGGGGAACCCCUUCACAAGAACAUUCAAAAUGUGAACAGAAUAUAAACUGAUGACUGAGUCUGCAGACAGCUUGAAACAACAGCGGUGAAAGAAAUAUGAACUCCUACU